AUUGAACGCUGGCGGAAUGCUUUACACAUGCAAGUCGAACGGCAGCACGGGUGCUUGCACCUGGUGGCGAGUGGCGAACGGGUGAGUAAUACAUCGGAACGUACCCAGUUAUGGGGGAUAACUAACCGAAAGGUUAGCUAAUACCGCAUACGCCCUGAGGGGGAAAGCGGGGGACCGUAAGGCCUCGCGUAAUUGGAGCGGCCGAUGUCUGAUUAGCUAGUUGGUGAGGUAAAGGCUCACCAAGGCGACGAUCAGUAGCAGGUCUGAGAGGAUGAUCUGCCACACUGGAACUGAGACACGGUCCAGACUCCUACGGGAGGCAGCAGUGGGGAAUUUUGGACAAUGGGCGAAAGCCUGAUCCAGCCAUUCCGCGUGAGUGAAGAAGGCCUUCGGGUUGUAAAGCUCUUUCGGCAGGGAAGAAACGGCCUAGGUUAAUACCUUGGGCUAAUGACGGUACCUGAAGAAGAAGCACCGGCUAACUACGUGCCAGCCGCCGCAGUAAAAC
rnacentral:rRNA from 1 species